rnacentral:rRNA from 1 species
UACGAAGGGUGCAAACGUUGCUCGGAAUCAUUGGGCGUAAAGCGCACGUAGGCGGCUUCGCAAGUCGGAUGUGAAAUCCCACGGCUCAACCAUGGACGUGCAUCCGAAACUGUGAGGCUUGAGUAUGGAAGAGGGUCGCGGAAUUCCCGGUGUAGAGGUGAAAAUUCGUAGAUAUCGGGAGGAACACCAGUGGCGAAGGCGGCGACCUGGGCCAAUACUGACGCUGAGGUGGCGAAAAGCGUGGGGAGCAAACAGGG